GUACUCACUGAGGCAACACAGGUACUAAAAUUGGAAUGAUACAGAGAUGGGUAGCAUGGCCCCUGAGUAAGGACUACAGGCGUAUUUAUGAAAUAUUCUAUAUUAAA
ensembl:snRNA U6 U6 spliceosomal RNA